GAUGAACGCUGGCGGCGUGCCUAAUACAUGCAAGUCGAGCGAACGGACGAGAAGCUUGCUUUUCUGAUGUUAGCGGCGGACGGGUGAGUAACACGUGGAUAACCUACCUAUAAGACUGGGAUAACUUCGGGAAACCGGAGCUAAUACCGGAUAAUAUUUUGAACCGCAUGGUUCAAAAGUGAAAGACGGUCUUGCUGUCACUUAUAGCUGGAUCCGCGCUGCAUUAGCUAGUUGGUAAGGUAACGGCUUACCAAGGCAACGAUGCAUAGCCGACCUGAGAGGGUGAUCGGCCACACUGGAACUGAGACACGGUCCAGACUCCUACGGGAGGCAGCAGUAGGGAAUAUUCCGCAAUGGGCGAAAGCCUGACGGAGCAACGCCGCGUGAGUGAUGAAGGUCUUCGGAUCGUAAAACUCUGUUAUUAGGGAAGAACAUAUGUGUAAGUAACUGUGCACAUCUUGACGGUACCUAAUCAGAAAGCCACGGCUAACUACGUG
rnacentral:rRNA from 1 species